CAGAACUGUCCCAUGAAAGGCAGACUUUCCUGACAGCAAAUGAAAGAAAAGAAGGAAAGAGGAAACAGAAGAGGGGAAGGAGAGAUCGAAUGAUGGUAAAAGAAGGAUCUAGUGACCACAGAAUUUGGAGAAAGUACCAAGAAUAUUUACUUGAAGAAACUGAAACGCAGCAAGACAGAGGAGUAUCCAUUUCAUACAGGAGCAGAUUUAUGACUCAGGAUAUUCUUCUCUUUACAUCAAGGAAAAAGUUACAAAUUGGGAGAAUCCACUACCAAGCUGACACUACUGCAAACUUAGUUACCAAACAUGCUUUUCACCUGCAGCAGUAUUGAAAAUCCAGGUGAGCGGAUGGUGCAGUGGGAGAACCAAAUCUGAGUCCUAGUUCUGGCCCUUUUGUUCCUUUGGCUAGCAGGGAUUGGGAAUGAUGGAUGUGGAAGUAGCAUGCUCAGCACCUGGAGGGAGAAAGUGCCGCAUGUCCCACACCAAUAAUUAUGAAUCCUUAAAUACCCAGGAGGACUCAUAAGGCCUGGCACUCCUAGCCCCCUGCUAAAAUAAAUAAGUAAAACCAUUG